rnacentral:snRNA from 1 species
AUAGCUUUCUCGGCCUUUUGGCUAAGAGUCUAUAAGUGUAGUAUAUGUUUUUAUCAGUUGAUCUAAUGAUGAAUUGAUGAUGAUACGUGGGAUAGUGCCCACGAUGAUAAUUAAGUUUAUUUUUUUGAGAGAAUCUAAUAUGGUAGCUUGCUAUCAAAGUUCUCAUGUAUCGUUCUAGUGUUGUACUCCCUCCGUAUAGGAUUUAGAAGUU